CUCCAACUUAAAAAUUAAAUUUUCUAGUUUGAAAACUUGAUCAAACAGUUAUUUCAAGUAAAAUUGUUCUCUCUCUUCCUCCUCCCCCAAAAACAAAAAAAGAAAAAAAAAAAAAAACUUUUCCUCUAAAAUUUUAUUAAAAUGUCCAUAAUAUUUACUUGUAUAAUGACGGCAAAACAUACAUCAUCUGGAAUGUGCA
rnacentral:lncRNA from 1 species